UCCCUCUUAGCUCAGUUGGUAGAGCGCGUCACUAGUAUAGAAUUGUACUAUCAUGUAUCAUGACGAGGUCAGUCGUUCAAGUCGGCUAGAGGGAA